CCCAGAACAGAUCACAUACGGAUCCGCACUUCGGACGCGCCUUAGAUAACCGCCGUGUGGGAAUUAGUCGGGAUCUCCUUCGCGUGAAGUUCGGCUGCCAAAUUUCUUCUUUGGCCACGAUUGGUGGAGAGAGUGGAACAUCCUCUCUCGGAUGUUCACAGAAGAAGUGGCCAAGACCAUAAGCUCGAAGGGGGCAAAUGGCAAGAGGGCAUUCAGUCACAUGUCGUCGAAGACACUAAUGUACCGUGCUGUACGUGCAAAUAGUUUGUGUCGCACAGCCACAGACAUUCAACGUUAUGCCAUACGAUGGUUUAACUUGGCUGCAGACCGUGGUGCGGCAAGGAGGCGCCUGACCAACCGGUCUAACCAGGCUGAGGCAGAUGAUUAGGCUACUUAUGGUCAUGUUUUCUUUUGUUAAAUAAAAUUUUUAUUUGUUUCAAA